CACCUGCCUCGGGAGAAGAGUCUGGAUCAGCCCAGUCUCCCUGACCCCACACUCACUCUCACCCCACUGCUGAUGAAGCAUCUAUUUCAUGCUUCCCCAAAAUGUUCCUGCCAUGGCUAGCAUAGGCCUCGCGAGACUGGAAGCUCCCAGAGGGCAGGGCCAGCAUGGUAAAAAGCCAAGGCCUCUGAAUGUGAAGUCAGACCCACCUGAGGAGUUUGAAUCCUGCCCUCUUUUUGGGAUGGAGUCUCCCUCUGUCAUCCAGGCUGGAGUACAGUGACAGGAUCUCCGAUCACUGCAACCUCCACCUCCCAGGUUCAAGCAAUUCUCCUGCCUCAGCCUCCCAAGUAGUUGGGACUACAAGCGUGUGCUACCACACCCAGCUAAUUUUUUGUAUUUUUAGUAGAGACAGGGUUUCACCAUGCUGGCUAGGUUGGUCUCAAACUCCUGACCUCAGGUGGUCUGCCCACCUUGGCCUCCCAAAGUACUGGGAUUAUAGGCGUGAGCCACUGUGCCUCACUUGAAUCCUACCUUUCUUAGCUGUGAGACCUGGGGCAAGUUGUUUAAUCUUUCUGAGGCUACAUCCUUGUCUGUCAAUGGGACUGAUAAUCUACACUCUCUGGCAGUUGGGAGGCUGGGGGUCUCUCAGGCCUUCCCAGAGAAUAGGCUUCAUGAAGUUUGCAGUGAUGCUUUGAGACCAGGGGAAAGCCAUCUGGAGGUCCAUUCUGGACAUGCUAUGGCUUCUGCUCAGGUUGGGGAAUCGAGGCGUCUGCACAGUGCCUGUACAGAGUCACUGCUCUGUAAACAGCUGCUGUUAUGAGCACACUGCCCUGUGGCCCUGUCUAGAAGGCCUCUGGCCAGGGGUGAAAUGGACCAACCAAAAUGUUUCUGGAGAUGUCCCCUGGUCCGGAGCCAGCCAGGGCAGAUCAGACAGCCUGGCCCAGCUUUGAGGAUCCCCAGGGAAGGUAGAUGCCAUGUUGAAGCCAAGUCCUAGGCUGAAAGGUCUAAUGAUGGUAGAAACAGCCCUCUUCCACACCCACCUGCAUCCCCUCUCCUCCUCUCAUAGUUUUCUUCUCCCUCCCUCCGUCCAUCCCUCCCUUCCUUCUUCCUUCUUUCUCUCUUUUCUAUCUCCUUCCUUCCUUUCUCCCUCCCUCCCUCCUUCCAUUCCUUUCCUUCCCUCCCUCUCUCCCUUCCUCCCUCCCUCCCUCCCUUCCUUCUUUCUCUCUUGAGACAGUCUCACCCUGUCACCCAGGCUGGAGUGCAGUGGUGCAAUCUCGCUCACUACAACCUCUGCUGCCCAGGUUCAAGUGAUUCUCCUGCCUCAGUUUCCCAAGUAGCUGGGAUUACAGGCACCUGCUACUGUAGCCAGCUAAUUUUUGUAGUUUUAGUAGAGAUAGGAUUUCACUAUCUUGGGCAGGCUGGUCUUGAACUCCUGACCUCUGAUCCACUCCCCUCGGCCUCCCAAAGAGCCGGGAUUACAGGCAUGAGCCACGGCACCCAGCCUCUAAUAGUUUCUUGACUGUCCCUAGGAGGCCCAGAAAUCCUCCUAGGCCCAGGGGUGGUGUGAACACAGACACACACUCACUACCCAGCCCCUGCCUCUUCCUGAUCCCCUGCCAAGCAAUUGGAGAGCAGGGCCGGCCUUCCCAGCAAGGGAGGAGUGGGAAGGAGGUGUGCCUGGUGCACCCUCACCUCCUCCUGGGUUCCACAGGGCUUCCUGUCAAUGGCUUCCUGUAAUUCUCGCCCAACCACCCAGUAAAGUAAGAACAGCAGCUGUCAUCGUUAUCCUGGAGCAGGCCCAGCACCCAGCCCUGGAGGAUCAUCAGAGGCUGACCCAGACACUCUGGGACACUGCUGUACCCAUGACAUCUGGCUGCUGCUGCUCGCAUGGCUUUGGGGUAAGGGGCGUUCAGGGCUGUGGGUGAGACUGCAGUGCAUGCAGAACCCAGGGUCUCAGGAGAGGCUGGAGAGCUCAGAUUGGGGACAGCCCCUCUUCUCUUCCCUCCCCUGCAGCUCCACAGCCCCAAAUACCCCCCAGCCCCCUUCUUACCACAUGCCACAUCCACGUUCAGUGCUGUGCAGGGGUCCCCUCACUCCCUCCUCAAAACACCCCAAUGGAAGGGCAGCUGUUACCACCUCAUCUUAUGGAUGACAAAACUGAGAAAAAGAGUGGACUAGAAUUUGUCCAUAUUUUCUGGAGGGCAGAGAUGGUACUGGAACUGAGGUCAGGCUGCCCCCAGAGAUCACACUAACCUCUGAAGGCAUUCCUCCCCCAGGAAUUUUCAAUGAGGAGGGCAAAGCAACCCCAUCCCCUGUCCUCAGCUGCAGAGGAUGGCUUUUGUCUGGGCACAGACAAUCCCAGACAGACCCUUCAGCUCCAAGACACAGUGACGGAGGGUGCUGAGAGGCUCUCCUAAAUCCGGUGUCCCCAUUUUACAAAUAAACAAACAAAGACCCAGAGAAGGGAAGCCAGGCGCCAGAGCUACACAGUAGAACAGGUGUCUGACUCAGUGCCCUGAAGCCUCUCCUGGGGUGGGAGUUGGCCUUACUCCUGGUGGAGAGGGCAGGGACGCAGCAGUGGGGUUCACUCCAGCCUCCCUGGCAGUCCUGGGGUGGGGAGGCAAUGGAAGGACUCCUCCCUGUUUCAGGGAAUGGAGCUUUCUGUUCGUUUUUUGUGCUGUCCACUUUAGGUGCCCAACACAGAGCCCGUGCCCUGGUGUUCCUCUUGGGUCCUGUCCCUGUCCAGGGCCCCUUUCACCCUGUCCCAAAUCUGGGCUCCAGGUUUGGGGGCUGGAGGUCCCUGUUGCCAUGGAGACUUCCUGAGCCUUUUCAGAGAUUACAAGAGGGUCUUGUAUGGAGGGGCUGAGAGAGAAAAUGGUUGCCAGGGAAACAGGCCUUCCUUGGGCCAAUGACUUCUCAAAAAAUCAGAUUUUGGGAGAUUUUAGAGACCACAUGGGAAAGCCUCCUGCUGACAGGGGUGAGGAAUAUUUUGGCUUCUCGGGCGCCCCACUCUUCAUCCCCACUAUGUCCCCCUCUUUAUUUGGAGGCGGGCCUGGCCUCGUGGUCAGGGGCCUGUGGGAGGUUGUCCAUCCCCGCCAGAGGCCCCAUAGGUUGCCUCCUCUGGCAGCUCUAUUUCAUAGCUGGAAAGAAUGCAGUUCUGAGAGGGCCAGGGAGUGCCCGGGUCAUAAAGUGGGACCUGGGGACAAGUGUCCAUGCUGCCAGCAGUGGCAGCCCAGCCCCACCCACACUGGCCGCCCUGGUUUACCUGAGAAACGUCAUAAACAGGACAAGUUCCUGGAGGCCACAGAAGCUGAUGAGGGUCCCCUGGGGACUGGCUGCCGGCCACAGGCCUUUGUCCUGGGACUCCCUGUUGCCUUCUGACAGCCAAUGGCCCUGUUUACCCAACCUGGCCUGGCUCAGCCCUGUGGUCAGGGAGCAACUUCAGACUCUGUUCUCUGUGGCCGUGGCUGAGGCAGGCGGGGGAGGCAGGUGGGGUGGGACAUGGAGAAAGUCCCAGGGAUCUCAGAGUGACUGUCCUCUUUGAGCGUCAGUUUUCCCACCUGCAAAGUGUGCCACUUCCCCUAGACCUUUGCACAGACUGUGCCUUCUGCCCAGAUCCUGUGACUCUGCUCACUUUGAAGGGCCAAGGCCUGAUGCCAUCUCCAAAGGGAAACACGUUCUGAGCUCCUCAGCCACUCUUUGGGGCAGGAGUCCUCUCUGGGCUCAUCUGGGCCAGCCUCAGAGAGAAACUGAGCCUGGUUGCAUACUCCUUCUGGCUCCUUCCAGCUCCCUACCCUCAGAAAACCAACGCUUCUGUUUGCUCAGGCCACUGGGCUGGGUCCCACAUUCCCUCUGUCAACAAACAACAGCAUUGCCCACUGCCAGGCAGCUGCUGGGACGCGGACAGAAGCAAACCCGGCGCCUUCGCCAGGCAAUCACAAACAAGUGACAGAGUUCCAUGAGGGCAGGGCUCUGGGCAGGAAGCAGGGCCCCAUGUGAGCAUGAGCAUGAGCAUGGCUCCCAGAGGGCAGCCACUCCCCAAAAUUCUAGCUGAAAAUUGGUGGCAGAAGCCCAGGAGAGGGAGCAGCAGGCUGGGUGAAGGCCAUGUGCAAAGGCCCUGAGGUGGGAGUGAAUGAAGGAGCUUCAGGAGGCAGGAGUGAGGUGAGUCAGAAUGAGAGAGAGGGUGAGGGGCCAGGAGGGGCCCAGCCUGGUGGCUCUCAAGGCAGGAGGAAGCAGGAAACAGCAUCUGUCGUUUUCUAGCCUGGAUGCAGCAUCUGUCUUGGCACAGCCAGGCACUGCAGCCUGGCCAAGCCCCAGCCUCCCCAGCGUUGCCCUGUGACAUUUACAAGGAGGCUUUUGCUCAAGAAAACAUCUCAUUCAGUUCUUUGAAAGCUGGCUGGUGUCCUAGCAACCGGCUCAUGCUGGGCCCAGCCGCACCAGCUCACCCUGCCCCCCGAAUGGCAUCGCUGUGGCCCAGCUUUGGUCCUAUCUGAGGUGUGGCCUCACACCACAGGGAGCCAGGACACCCACCUCUCCUGCCCUGGCCCUCAGGCCACUCCCUGAAAUUCUAGGUGAAAAUCAUCCUCCCCAGAGAGGACCCGGGAGGGCGGGAGGCAAAAGCUCAUUCUGGAAACAGCAUGAAGCACAGGAGGGCAGACAAGAAGGGGCACUGGGCCAGGCGCAGUGGCUCACACCUGUAAUCCCAGCACUUUGGGAGGCUGAGGUGGGCAGAUCACAAGGUCAAGAGAUCGAGACCAUUUUGGCCAACAUGGUGAAACUCCGUCUCUAUUAAAAAUACAAAAAUCGGCCGGGCGCAGUGGCUCAAGCCUGUAAUCCCAGCACUUUGGGAGGCCGAGGCAGGUGGAUCACGAGGUCAACAGAUCGAGACCCUCCUGGUCAACAUGGUGAAACCCCGUCUCUACUAAAAAUUACAAAAAAUUAGCUGGGCACGGUGGCGCGUGCCUGUAAUCCCAGCUACUCAGGAGGCUGAGGCAGGAGAAUUGCCUGAACCCAGGGGGCGGAGGUUGCAGUGAGCCGAGAUUGCACCAUUGCACUCCAGCCUGGGUAACAAGAGUGAAACUCCGUCUCAAAAAAAAAAAAAAAAAAUACAAAAAUCAGCUGGGCCUGGUGGUACACGCCUGUAGUCUCAGCUACUCUGGAGGCUGAGGCGGGAGGAUUGCUUGAACCUGAGAGGCGGAGGUUGCAGUGAGCUGAGAUCACGACACUGCACUCCAGCCUGGGUGACAGAGUGAGACUCUGUUUCAAAAAAUAAAGAAAGAAAGAA